GGGGUUAUAGCUCAGUGGUAGAGAGCAUGCCUAGCAUGCAUGAGGCCCUCGGUUCAAUCCUCAGUACCUCCA
rnacentral:tRNA from 1 species